GAUGAAGAACGUAGCAAAAUGCGAUACUUGGUGUGAAUUGCAGAAUCCCGUGAACCAUCGAGUUUUUGAACGCAAGUUGCGCCCGAAGCCUUUUGGCCGAGGGCACGUCUGCCUGGGCGUCACGCAUCGCGUCGCCCCCCACAAUUCUCCGUAAAAGGAACAUGUGUUUUGGGGGCGGAUAUUGGUCUCCCGUGCUCAUGGCGUGGUUGGCCGAAAUAGGAGUCCUUUCGAUGGACGCACGAACUAGGGGUGGUCGUAAAAACCCUCGUCUUUUGUUUCGUGCUGUUGCUCGCAAGGUAAACUCUUUAAAAACCCCAAUGUGUCGUCUCUUGACGACGCUUCGACCGCGACCCCAGGUCAGGCGGGACUACCCGCUGAGUUUAAGCAUAUCAAUAAGCGGAGGA
rnacentral:misc_RNA from 1 species